GUGGGGAAUCUUGCACAAUGGGGGCAACCCUGAUGCAGCGACGCCGCGUGAGCGAUGAAGGUUUUCGAAUCGUAAAGCUCUGUCCUAUGGGAAGAUAAUGACGGUACCAUAGGAGGAAGCCCCGGCUAACUACGUGCCAGCAGCCGCGGUAAUACGUAGGGGGCGAGCGUUGUCCGGAAUUACUGGGCGUAAAGGGUUCGCAGGCGGCAUGGCAAGUCCGAUGUAAAAGGCGAAGGCUUAACCUUCGUAAGCAUCGGAAACUGUCAAGCUUGAGUGAAGGAGAGGCAAGUGGAAUUCCUAGUGUAGCGGUGGAAUGCGUAGAUAUUAGGAGGAAUACCGGUGGCGAAGGCGACUUGCUGGACUUCAACUGACGCUGAGGAACGAAAGCGUGGGUAGCAAACAGGA
rnacentral:rRNA from 1 species